CAGGUGGUGAGGAAGGAGGGGCUUAAAGUAUCUGACAGUUGUUUGUCAAAACUCACAUAAGAUCAUUUAAUCUGAGACUGUAAGCAAAAACACAAUGAUACUCCAUUCAGUUAUUCUGCUAUCUGCUCUAGCAUGUGCUAGUAAUGGAGAUACUAUUACACCAGACAAAACUGAGGAGUUUGCUGCUGAAGGUUCAAAUGCUACAUUAUCCUGCAGUUAUUCAUCUGCUUGGUCUUUACUUUGGUACCGUCAGUAUCCCGGAUCGGCUCCUGAGUUCCUUGUGCUCAUCUCAGACAGUGAGAAAAAAGAUCAGAAGUCUAAUAUAGAUCCCAGAUUCACGGCCAAAGUCACUAAAGACAGUAAAGAAAAGCAUGUGGAUCUGAUCAUCUCCUCUUCUGCUGUAUCAGACUCUGCUCUGUAUUACUGUGCUCUGCAGCCCACAGUGACAGGAAACACAAGAACACUGUACAAAAACCUGACUAUAAAAGAAAGCAACAGUCUUCUGAGAAGAAAUGUGUUUUUUAAAUCUUAA